rnacentral:rRNA from 1 species
GAUGAACGCUAGCUACAGGCUUAACACAUGCAAGUCGAGGGGAAACGACAUCGAAAGCUUGCUUUUGAUGGGCGUCGGCCGGCGCACGGGUGAGUAACGCGUAUCCAACCUGCCCAUCACUUGGGAAUAACCUUGCGAAAGUAAGACUAAUACCCAAUGACAUCCCACGAAGACAUCUGAAUGGGAUUAAAGAUUUAUCGGUGAUGGAUGGGGAUGCGUCUGAUUAGCUUGUUGGCGGGGUAACGGCCCACCAAGGCAACGAUCAGUAGGGGUUCUGAGAGGAAGGUCCCCCACAUUGGAACUGAGACACGGUCCAAACUCCUACGGGAGGCAGCAGUGAGGAAUAGUGGUCAAUGGGCGAGAGCCUGAACCAGCCAAGUAGCGUGCAGGAUGACGGCCCUAUGGGUUGUAAACUGCUUUUAUAAGGGAAUAAAGUGGGUCUCGUGAGACUUUUUGCAUGUACCUUAUGAAUAAGGACCGGCUAAUUCCGUG